rnacentral:lncRNA from 1 species
CAUCAUAGAGAGGCAUAAUUGAUGAAGCAUCGGAGUCCAGCAGCCAUCCACGGGUAGUGAGCGAGCGAGAGCUCUAGUCCUUCGUACACCUUGUAAGCGAGUGGUAGUCCCGAGCAGGUGCGGGUGCCUCGCAUGUGCCGAGGUAAGCCAACUCUUGUCGUCCGUGUGUUCGGCCAUAUGUAAUCUUGUCUGUGGAUAUGGAGUGAGUCUGUUCUUGUGUUUUCCUGCUAUUCUUUGGUCUAGUCGCAUGAGAUGAGUCGCUAUGCUAGGGACUCUAUAGGAGAAACCUCUACGUGUGAUCUUGCUCUCGUCUUAGCCGUAGAGAGGCGUCAUGGAGAGCCCUGCAACCGCGAAGAAGUGUUCCCUUUGGGUGGAACUGCCUGGGAAGACGAUAGUGUCCCAUCGAGGUGCGCUGUGUCUAGAGGAUGCUAGAGAGAUACUGAGGUGGACAAUUUUGUAGGAUAGGCUCAAGAUGAGUAUGGUGAAUAGCGAGUAGGACCAACACACCUGCGUGAGCAACGAGUGGCAGACUUUCGGGCUUCGCCAGCCUCUGAGGUCCUCAUAUACGCAUAUACAACACGCGUGAAUAUUAUAUCCGGUAAGUUCUAAUCACCCAUAUUAGCAAAGUAUAUCGGCUAAUCAUACAUAUACGGGAAUAUCUCAAUAUUGAAUCAUACAUACACCGUAUACAUCCAAAUAUAUUAUAAUAUUGUGUCGGGUUGACACUAUAAAAUAAUAUAAUAUAUUGCGGUGUGUGUGGUAUUCAAAGACCAUGAAAUACUGAACAAUACUGAAACACAAGUACUG